GUCCGAUCGCUUGGAACUUCGGUCGCAAGCUUUACGAUGGUGACUCUUCCUAGAAGCAUUUUCAUCUUGUGGACGCGAGCUUCAAAAUCCGAAGCUCGCUGAGGUUGAAGGAGAGGUGAGGUUUUUUUUUUUUUUGAAAAGGAGAGG